GACGAACGCUGGCGGCGUGCCUAAUACAUGCAAGUAGGACGCAGUUGCGAACGGGUGAGUAACGCGUAGGUAACUACCUAUUAGAGGGGUAUAACUCUUGGAAACGUUAGCUAACACCGCAUACUAGCAGACGUACCUGUGUUGUAUUAGUUAGUAGGUAGGGUAAUGGCCCACCUAGGCAACGAUACAUAGCCGACCUGAGAGGGGGAUCGGCCACACUGGGACUGAGACACGGCCCAGACUCCUACGGGAGGCAGCAGUAGGGAAUCUUCGGCAAUGGGGGGAACCCUGACCGAGCAACGCCGCGUGAGUGAAGAAGGUUUUCGGAUCGUAAAGCUCUGUUGUUAAGGAAGCGGUACUUAACCAGAAAGGGACGGCUAACUACGUGCCAGCCGCCGCGGUAAUAC
rnacentral:rRNA from 1 species